CAGGGAAUCGUACGCAAUGGACGAAAGUCUGACGUCGCAAUGCCGCGUGGAGGAUGAAGGCCCUCGGGUCGUAAACUCCUUUUACGUGGAAUGAAAGUUCCACGAGAAUAAGCAACUGCUAACUCUGUGCCAGCAGCCGCGGUAAUACAGAGGUUGCAAGCGUUAUCCGGAUUUAUUGGUCGUAAAGCGUUUCGUAGGCGGAUUUGUAAGUUACUCUUUUAAAGACAACGUCUCAACCGUUGAAGGGGGGUAAUACUGCAAGUCUUUGACUACUGGUGGGGUUUCCGGAACUGAUGGUGUAGUAGUGAAAUACGUUGAUAUCAUCAGGAACUCCAAGGGCGAAGGCAGGAAACUAACCAGUGAGUAACGCUGAGGAACGACAGCUAGGGGAGCGAAAGGGAUUAGAGACCCCCUGUAGUCCUAGCCGUAAACUAUGCUCGCUAGAGAUGGGGCCGCAAGGCUUCGUCUCGUAAGCUAACGCGUUAAGCGAGCCG
rnacentral:rRNA from 1 species